AUGAAUCAAUCAAGGUUGCCAGCUUGGACGAGCAGCAGUCGAUCAGGCGCUCCCAACCCUGGAGACCCUGGGAACCUCGACGGGGAAGCGGUCGAUCUCGUCCGCCCACGGGUUCUUCUCCUCGGCCUCCGGCGCCACCGUGCGCAGAGCCCUCCAGACGGCGCUGUUGCACUUGAAUCCGGAGCCGAAGGCGAUCUGCCAGACCCUGUCGCGCCGCCCGAUGCGGCCCUUGGCCUCGCUGUAGGCCAGCUCGUACCACAGCGAGCUGCUCGACGUGUUGCCGAACCGGUACAGCGUCAUCCGCGACGGCUCCAUGUGCCACUCCGUCAGCCCCAGGUUCUUCUCCAGCUCGUCCAGCACGGCGCGCCCGCCCGCGUGGAUGCAGAAGUGCUCGAACGCCAGCUUGAAGUCCGGGAUGUAGGGCUUGAUCUUCACCUUGAAGGCCUUCUUCGCCACCAGCGUCGCCAUGAACAGCAGCUGCUCCGACAGCGGGAGCACCAGCGGGCCCAGGGUGGUGAUGUUGGUCUUGAGCGCGUCGCCGGCCACCGCCAUCAGGUCCUUGGAGAGCGACACGCCCACCUUGCCGGCCUCGUCCUCCUGCUGCGUCACGCAGCCGAAGCACUUGUCGUCCGCGCCCUUGUGGGUGCGGACGGUGUGCACCAGCUCGUACUUGGAGCGCCGCCGGUCGGACCGCCGGUUGGAGAGCAGGAUCGCCGCGCCGCCCAUCCGGAACAGGCAGUUGGACACCAGCAUGGAGCGGUCGUUCCCGAAGUACCAGUUGAGGGUGAUGUUCUCCAUGCUGAUGACCAGCGCGUACGAGUUGGGGUGCACCUGCAGCAGGUCCUUGGCGAGGUCGAUGGACAGCAGCCCGGCGCUGCAGCCCAUCCCGCCCAGGUUGUAGCUCACAAUGUUGCCCCUCAGCCUGUAGUGGUUCACCACCAUGGCCGACAGCGACGGCGUCGGGUUGAACAGGCUGCAGUUGACGACCAGGAUGCCGAUGUCCUUGGGCCUCACCCCGGUCUUCUCCAGCAGCUGGUCGAUGGCGCCGAACAUGACGGUGCUCGCCUCCUUGCGCGCCUCGUCCAUGCACGGGUUGGGGGGCACCCGGAGCACGGCGGGGGGCAGAUAGGUGUCCUCGCCCAGCCCCGAACGCUCGAGGAUCUUGCGCUGGAAGUCGAGGUUGGCGUCGGUGAAGGAGCCGGUGGCCUCGGAGCAGCGCAUGAAGGUCUGGCGCGUGCACCGGCGCUCCGGCUCCGGCUUGUAGCAGGCGAAGUCGACGAGGUAGACGGGGCGGGGGCGGGUGAGGAAGUAGACGGUGGAGAGGAAGACGAGGAGGGUGGAGCAGACGAGCACGGAGACGAGGUUGAACCGGAGCUGCUCCCACAGGUCGGCGAGGUCGCCCGGGGACACGGUGGAGAGCUGCACGGCCACCAGGGCCAUGAGCGGCGACAGCAGCAGGUACAUGCCGUGGGAGAUGAGGUGGUGGUACCCCAGCUUCACGUACUUGAGCCGCACCGACUGGAGGAAGUCUGGCAGCAGCCGCGGCUGCGCUGCUGGCUCCGCCGCCGGCGCCGGUGGGUUGGCGGCAUUGGGCGCUGGAGAAUCCAUUCUACUGACAAACAAACAACAGUUAAAAUAAAUUUCAGAAAUCCCAAGACAAGAAUUCUGGAAUGCUGCUACAGUGGUUGGGUUUAG
rnacentral:rRNA from 1 species